ACUCCUACGGGAGGCAGCAGUGAGGAAUAUUGCGCAAUGGAGGCAACUCUGACGCAGCCAUGCCGCGUGCAGGAAGACGGCCCUACGGGUUGUAAACUGCUUUUAUCCGGGAAGAAUCCCCAGUUCGUGAAACUGGGCUUGACGGUACCGGAGGAAUAAGCACCGGCUAACUCCGUAGCCAGCAGCCGCGGUAAUACGGAGGGUGGCAAGCGUUAUCCGGAUUCAUUGGGUUUAAAGGGUGCGUAGGCGGAACGGGUAAAGUCAGUGGUGAAAUCCUGCAGCUUAACUGUAGAACUGCCAUUGAUACUGUCGUUCUUGAGUGCGCUUGACGUGGGCGGAAUGUGCCGUGUAGCGGUGAAAUGCUUAGAUAUGGCACAGAACACCAAUUGCGAAGGCAGCUCACGAAAGCGAAACUGACGCUGAGGCACGAAAGCGUGGGGAUCGAACAGGAUUAGAUACCCUGGUAGG
rnacentral:rRNA from 1 species